rnacentral:rRNA from 1 species
UACGUAGGGAGCAAGCGUUGUUCGGAUUUACUGGGCGUAAAGGGCGCGUAGGCGGCCUCUGCAAGUCGACUGUGAAAUCUCCGGGCUUAACCCGGAACGGUCAGCCGAUACUGCAGGGCUAGAGUGCAGAAGGGGCAACCGGAAUUCUCGGUGUAGCGGUGAAAUGCGUAGAUAUCGAGAGGAACACCUGCGGCGAAGGCGGGUUGCUGGGCUGACACUGACGCUGAGGCGCGAAAGCUAGGGGAGCGAACGGG